rnacentral:rRNA from 1 species
GACGAACGCUGCCGGCGUGCUUAACACAUGCAAGUCGAACGAAAAGACGGAAAGAGCUUGCUCUUUUCAGAAUUGAGUGGCAAACGGGUGAGUAACACGUAACAACCUGCCUUCAGGAUGGGGACAACAGACGGAAACGACUGCUAAUACCGAAUAAGUUCCAAGAGCCGCAUGGCCCAUGGAAGAAAAGGUGGCCUCUACCUGUAAGCUAUCGCCUGAAGAGGGGUUUGCGUCUGAUUAGCUGGUUGGAGGGGUAACGGCCCACCAAGGCGACGAUCAGUAGCCGGUCUGAGAGGAUGAACGGCCACACUGGAACUGAGACACGGUCCAGACUCCUACGGGAGGCAGCAGUGGGGAAUCUUCCGCAAUGGGCGAAAGCCUGACGGAGCAACGCCGCGUGAGUGAUGACGGCCUUCGGGUUGUAAAACUCUGUGAUCCGGGACGAAAAGGCAGAGUGCAAAGAACAAACUGCAUUGACGGUACCGGAAAAGCAAGCCACGGCUAA